rnacentral:misc_RNA from 1 species
UUGGUUUGCCAACACUUAUAUGCCUUUUAAUUUUCUUAUACACUGCCGAUGUGGGACUUGUUUCCCACAAGCCAUUCCAACACCCCCCUCAAGUGAGAAUCCCUAACAAUAGGAUCUCAAGCAGCAGAAAAAAUAGAAAUAGAGCAGAGGAAGAAAUAGAGUAUUAGGUAGAAGAGAAUAGAGAGAAUGAGAAAAAAAAAUUGAAUAGAUUCUUGAUAUUUUUCCUAAAUGCACUUCUUCAGUUACAAUAGCUAUUAUUUAUACAACUACCAGCCCUUCCCAUAACUGUUCCCACCAAUUACAACCUUCCUAACAACUUUCAGUUCUUCAACUAGCUACCACAGACCACCCUAACUAUUCUAUUACUUUCACAUGCAAUCACAUAUCCUUAUUUUCCUCAUUAGUCAUAACAGAAUCCUUUCUAAGUUGAAGGUAAAGUGAAUGUCAAUGAAACUGUAAUUUAGAUGGCUAUGCUAUAUGGCAGUGGAUCCUGGACCUGAAGAGACAACAUAUACUCAAAAUGAGUUUGCUGAAAUGAGGAUUAUUGGAUGUUAUUGAAAAUAUAAUUAUUAUGGGUGCAUUUUGUUUGGAGGGUAUAGGAGGACUUAAGAGGGAUAAAGACUUACCUCCCUUUGGUAUAUCUUUUCUAAGGGGCUUAAAGGUUAAUUCCCUUUUUGUCUAUAUUGUAAUGUUAGCCCAGGAAACAGCGAAGGGAGAAAAAAGUUAUUUUUAUUAUUUUCAAUAUUAUCAGUACUUAUUACUAUUUAUAAUUAAUAAUUUAAUAAUAAAAUAAUAGAAAUAAAUUGUAACCUUUUACCUUGUAUUGUUUAACCUUGAACCAACACAAUUGGUACUUUUGACCUUUUUAUUCUGGUUUGUUACUCCCUUAAUUAUUAGAUCCUUAAUAUUACUCAACUUUUAAC